rnacentral:rRNA from 1 species
AACGAACGCUGGCGGCAUGCCUACACAUGCAAGUCGAACGAAGCCUUCGGGCUUAGUGGCGCACGGGUGCGUAACGCGUGGGAAUCUGCCCUUUGGUUCGGAAUAACAGUGGGAAACGACUGCUAAUACCGGAUGAUGACGAAAGUCCAAAGAUUUAUCGCCAGAGGAUGAGCCCGCGUGGGAUUAGCUAGUUGGUGUGGUAAAGGCGCACCAAGGCGACGAUCCUUAGCUGGUCAGAGAGGAUGAGCAGCCACAGUGGGACUGAGACACGGCCCAGCCGGCGAGGGGAGGCAGCAGUGGGGACUAUUGGACAGUGGGCGAAAGCCUGAGCCAGCGAUGCCGCGUGAGUGAUGAAGGCCCUAGGGUUGUAAAGCUCAUUUACCCGGGAUGAUAAUGACAGUACCGGGAGAAUAAGCCCCGGCUAACUCCGUGCCAGCGGCCGCAGUAA